GUCUCGAACUCCUGACCCCAGGUGAUCCACCCAUCUCAGCCUCCCAAAGUGCUAGGAUUACAGGAGUGAGUCACUGCAGCUGGCCUAGAAGAGCUAUUUUGAACGUGCCCUUGGGAUAGGAAGAAAGUCCCUGAGGAUCUGACUAUAGGUAGGUGCUCAAGUGCUCUAAGGGUGAAAACUUCUCUGCAUAACAGAAGAAGAAUUUAGUGCUAAAGAGCCAAUGAGAAUGAUGGAGAUGAGGCAGAGAAAUUAGGAGAGAGGACAGGAUGAGGAAAAUUCGCCCUGGGAAGGCUGAGAACUGCGGGUAUACUCCAUAAACAGAUCCCUCCCCAGUACUGACAGUGGUUCGGUGGGUGAGGGGUAUUGGGGAGGGUACAGGGAGUUGCUAGGGGUGGGAAGACCACUAAUAUAUGUAUGUCUUACUUGAAGCCUCAGGAGUACCUGAAGUAAGUGAUUUUGAUGGUGUUGGUGGCAUGUGAAUCAAAAUGAGCUGUGUUGUGUUGGCAAAGCAGGUCAAUGAGCCCAGCCUUUAGGAAAUUAUCAGAAAUUUAGAGGUGAGUUUUGGGAUUCUUACUGGUCAUGAAAUUAGGAAGUUCAAAUCAAUUUUGUUUAGAUCUCAAGGGAGGCAGAGGGCCUUCCAUCUUUCAAGAGUUAAGCAGACCAUGAAGUCCAAGGGUAUGCAAGAUGGAAUGUAAAGUUCUCACUAAGCUUCCUAGGAUCCAGGGUAAAUCAGGAAGCUUAAACACAAAUCCCCGUGUCCAUUGGAUAAACAAUUUGAUGGAUCAGGGAAGCACACCACUUAUGAUACUAAGAUCAGAAAGAAAUUUGUCCUAAGUUGUGCAUAAAGAUUAAUGAUAUACAUAUAUAAAUCAUGGUAUCUGCUCAACUUAGUGUGUUUGAUAUAUUUUAGUUCCUCUCCUGUCCCUUUUUUCCCCUAUGGAUUUCUGUGGAAGAUUGUAGUAUAUUUGAAAGUUCUUUGAAAAUUGUAAAUACUAUUGUUAGUUUAUAAUUAAAAGAAAGCGGCCGGGCGUGGUGGCUCACGCCUGUAAUCCCAGCACUUUGGGAGGCCGAGGCGGGUGGAUCACGAGGUCAGGAGAUCGAGACCAUCUUGGCUAAUAUGGUGAAGCCCCGUCUCUACUAAAAAUACAAAAAAUUAGCUGGGCGUGGUGGCGGGCGCCUGUAGUCCCAGCUACUCGGGAUGCUGAGGCAGGAGAAUGGCGUGAACCCGGGAGGCGGAGCUUGCAGUGAGCCCAGAUAGCGCCACUGCAGUCCGGCCUGGGCGAAAGAGCAAGACUCCGUCUCAAAAACAAAAACAAAAACAAAAACAAAACAAAACAAAACAAAAAACCUGUGUACCAGAUUUCAUUAAAAUCUGAUUAAAUACUAUUAAAGAAAGUAUAAUAAAAUAGAUAGUAUAAGAAAAGGAUAAUCCAAAUAAAAAAUAUGUUUCUUAUUAAAAAAUGGUAUGUCUUGCCAAAUUUUGAAGUUAAAAGCACAGCAUUCUCACUUCUUUAACCCAACUUAUAGCCCAUUAUAGCACUAGAUUUUAGAAUCCUGAGUCCUAUGCCAUCUGUAAUGGCAACAGUCUUACAGGGUGAUACAACCUUUUGUAAUUCUUAAGGAGACUUGAAUUUUUGAGGCAAAUGUUGAGUCUAUACGUGGACAUUUGUUGUGUAAGAGUGGAAGUGGAAGUCAAAAUUCUGAACAAGGUUGCUCCCAAUAAGAUCUGUCAGCUCACAAGAUUGCUUCCCUAGGCUUGAAAUGUUUCAAGCACAAAUUCAAUUCAUAAGGAAAAUGAGAAUCAUGAAAAUGAUUAUGAAAUAGCAAGCAGUCUGGAAAGAGGAUGUAGACGAAUGCCAAAGCUUCUGGAAUUUAUGAAAUAUUUCCAUUUAUGGGGCCAGGUGAAAUAAGUUGUUCUUUCAGAAAUGUGUGACAUGGCUAUUAUAUAUUAUCCCCCUAAAACUAUUUGAUCAUAAAACAAAACAACAAAAACAAAAACUGAUAAACAGCAAUGACAAAACAACUAAAUAAAAAAGAAAUGCAGUUCUUGAAUACAGGAUAUAAAGGCUCAGUGCACUUUUUCAUUUUCUUAUUAUUUCUUUUCCCUGGCUAGGUGAGUUGGCUGUUUUAUAUUGGCACUAAGAGUUUGAUACCACUACUAGAAUAGUCAAGUAUUUGACCUGGCCAUGAGUAAAAGAUGUUUGAUUGACAGAUGAGUCUAUCUGUGUCAAACAGCUUUACCUUGAGAAAAAUCACAACUUUGAAAGCAGUAACACUUCAAAAGAAUAUUGAAGAUUGUGGCCACUUUCCCCCACCUCUCCCCAAAAUCUAUCUUCAUUCAAGUUCAUUAUAAGCAGCUCCUUUGGGUAAUUUGGGUUGCGUGCUUUCUCCACCCCUUCUGUAUCCUUGGCUUCUUCAGAGCGUCAAUCAAGACAAGCAAAAGAUUCAAGAAAAAAAGGGAAAUGACCUUUCAGUACCUGAGUCUUCACACCAAUUCAUCAUUGCUAAGUGCUCCAAAACUGCUGAGUACAGUAUUUAGGAAGUGUCCAGUACAUCAGCCUGGCAUAUAUUGUUCUUAACUUGAGGUUACUAAUGCCUAUUGCAAAUGUGCUUUACGUCAGCCAAAUGAUGUGUUUAAAAACCUCUAUGUCUAGCAUGAAGAAGAAUCUCUUUCAUUCUCAUGUUACCUUAAAAGAUUUUCAUACCAAUAUACAUCAGGGAGGAGCAAAUUUUUGUUUCAUAUGUUACACAUGUUAUGGUGCACAUGAAGACUGGAAACGGUAGUUAUUUGUUGGGCAUGUGUAUGAAUUAGUAUGUAAAAUACACAGCAUUUUUUUCUCUUCUAAGUUACUAAAUAUUAGAUAUUUAAUGUAUUUCUUUUGCUUUGCUAAUUUAUUCAAAUGUAAUCCUGACUAAUCCAUUAUUUUGUUAACAUGUCUACUUGAUUAAUGUGUUUUUCCCCUCUUCUAAUUCUGAUCCACAAAUUUUAUAGCUAUUCAUUGUAUUACUUAAUCUAAGUCCACUAAAGAUUAUCCUUAUUCAUGUUUCUCCAUUAAAGACAACGAUAAUAUCAUUGAGUUAGCUUAGUUCGGAUAGAAAUUUGGCUAGCAUUCAUUAUUUGAUUUUCUUGGAGUUUUGCAAUUUUUUUUUUUUUGCAUAUUUGUCAACAUUGUAUACUCCUGAAAGCAUUGUGUUUAAAAUACCUAUUUCUUGAUCAGUAGAAUUGAUAUAGCUGACUUACACGGAUCAAUAACAUGAUUUUAAGAGCAUUUCAAGGAAAUCUCUCAUCUGCAUUGUCUUUUUUUCUAACACAGUUUGCACUAUUUACAAGUGAAAAUUUUAUAUUACUUUACAUAUUUUCCUGUAAAAAUUAGAAAACUGUAUUCUUUGGCACCCGAAUGUGUCCUUGAAUUAUUAAUUUGUUAAUUUUGUAUGACAUCCUUAUUUAUUAGAGAAGCAAUAAUAUUUCUCAUGGGAAUGCAUGUAUUAAUACUUUCAGAGGUCCAGAAAGUAUCAGGAGAUUAAAUACUGAGAUUAAAGAGUACUCUCUUCCCACUAUUAUGUUCAGUUCUGAUUUUCCAGCUGUGUAGCUAGAACAAAGAAAGAAUGUGGGUUUUUUUUAAAGAAUAAGACAAGGCUAGAAGGUAUGCCCUUGUGAGGGCGCCACUGACUGUGUCAUCACAGGAGGGCCCUGAUACAUGAAUAUUCGGUCUCCAGGAAGCCAAGUAUGAUAUUCACAACCACAUAAUAAUGUGCUAACCUCAUUCACGGUAAUCACAGAUAAUGUAGUAUUUGUGUCUGCCAUACAGUUUUGAAGGUAAAAUAUGGAACCUAUUUUGGAAAUUUCACAUAACAUCUUAAGCUGUAUUAAUAGAACCAGAAUAACCCAAAAUAAAGAGGUAAUGAAUGCACUUGACCCUGCAUCAUUCAGACCUCAGCUGGAAUAUUGUGCUUCCUUUUGGGCUGCAGACAAACAGAAGAGGACUCAGGAGAGUGACAAGAGAGGAAGCAAGCUCAUGCCUUGUCACAUAUAAAGUGGUUGAAAGACUGCAAUUGUUAGAGAAAAUGAUGCAGUAAUUGAAGGAUGGGUACUGGGAAGAGGCUAGUUCUUUGAGGCUGCUAAUCUGAAAUAUAACAAGUGGAUGCACCUGCAGUAAAAGAGAUUAAGCCCCAGAAUGAGUCUGGAUGUUCUAAUGGUCAGAACAGGCAUUUCAUAUGACAUGGCCUGCAUUGGUCCAGGUGGCGAAGUAAGGAUGGACAAACAUGCGUUGUUUGCAAUGAUAAAAAAUCAUAAGUAGAUGAUAACAUUGAUUUGCUGAAAUUUUUCUCUUUUUUGUUUGGUGUAAAACUUUAUAUGUCGUACUUUUUGCCUUGUGGUUUUUUUGUAUCUUAGGACAAAGGUAUUCUUAAUCCCUUUCUUUGUCUUCUUGAAAGAUGCAACCAUGCAGAAAAUGCAUACCUCCUGUAAAUUGUUUCCUGUCUUUUAGUAAACCUUUGUUUAAAUGAGUCAUAUGUUUAGCAAUUUUAACAUUUUAACUUGGCUCUAAUUAAUGAUAAUAUAGCGUGAUUUAUGGUCUUCUAAAGAAAUGUAGACAUAGAAAAUGGAGAUAGAGGUUAACAUGUGAAGAAGAGUUUGUAUUUUGGGUUAGAAAAUUAAAUAUUGGCUUAUGUCAGUAAGAUUAGGCCUUACUAUUUGAUUGUACGAGUUUACUUUAAAUUUCUAGGCUUUCAGGGCUUUGUAAAGAUAAAUUUUAUUUUAAAACAGCUUUAGAUUUGCAGAAAAAUGGCAAAGAUAGUGCAGGGAGUUUCCAUAUACCCCUCACCCACUGCCUUUUAUUAAAGUCUUAUAUGAGUAUGAUACUUUUGUUACAAUGAAUGAACCAGUAUUGGUACAUUAUUAUUAUUUAAAGUCCCUAUUCAUUCAUAUAUCCUUAGUUUUACCUAAGGUUCUUUUUUUCUAUUCCAGGGCCCCACUCAGGAUACCACAUUGCAUUUAGUUCUCGUGUUUCAUUUAUCUUUGCUAUAGAAUUUUCUCAGAUUUUCCUUGUUUUUCAUUACCUUGGCAGUUUUGAGGAGUACUGAUUAGGUAUUUUGUAGAAUGUCUCUCAGUUGGAAUUUUCUGAUUGAUUUUUCAUGAUUAGACUGUAGUUAGUGUUUUGGGGAGAGAGACCACAGAGGGUAAUGUGCCAUUUUUCCAUCACACUGUCAACAUGACUAAAGAUGUUAACCUUGAUCACCUGAUCGAGGUGGAUUUGGUCAGGUUUUUCCACUAUAAAUGUAUUAUUUUUCCUUAUUUUUAUUAUUUUCAUACCUACCCUUUGGAAGGAAGUCAUGAUAAACAACCCACACUUAAGAGGGUGUUAUACUCCAUCUCCUUGAAGGCAGAGAAUCUACAUAAAAUAUUUGCAAUUCUUCUCCACAGAAGAUUUGCUUAUUCUCCCUCAUUUAAUUAUUCAGCAUUUAUGUAUAUCAGUAUGGACUCAUGGAUAUUUAUUUUAUGCUUAGGUUAUAAUCCACUACUGUCAUACUAAUCGUGCUGUGAAAUUGUUCCAGCUUUGGCCAUUGGGUACUAUUUCUUGUGUCCCUUUGAUACAUCCCCACAAUUGUGGUGGUUUUGUUUUCUGUUUUUUGUUUGUUUUGUUUUGAUGCACUUUCAUCCUUUCUAGCAUUACACAAUACUUGAGGCUUAUCAACAAUAUAACUCCUUCCUCAUCAUAGAUUCAGCCAUUUCUCCAAGGAGCACACGUUCCUUUCAUUGGAAAAUGGUAUUAAAAACCAAGAUUUGAGCAAUAGGUGUGUUCAUUGUUUUUGGGUUGUCAUUUCCUUUUGGCCUUCUUGGCUGACAGAGCAAGGACAUAUAUUUGUGUAUACCAACCUGUGUAUGUACACAUAUCUAACAAUCAGGAAGCAUAAAUAGAUAGAUGAUAGAUAGAUAAGCAUUAGUUCAUACUGAUAUUUUCAAAUCUAACUCAUUACCACAUGGGUCAUUCUAGCUUCUUCCUCUUGCUUAUCUAUAAUCUUCCACUCCAACAGUGAAAAACUACCAUCCAUCAUUUGCUUACUUAAUUGUUCAAUUCCAGUGGUGCUGUUCCAUUUAUCCUUACUGAAGUUGAAAUACAUAAAUAUAAGCUGAAUUUUUCUCAAACCCUUAGAAAAAUUAUUUUUCCCCCAAAAUGUUUUUUACCCUGCAAACUCUUAAGAUUUUAAAAUGUAUUUGUGUCCCAAAUGUUUUUCUGUACAUAAAAAUUGAUAUAGUCAACUUUAUAUUGUUUGCAGUUAACUUGGGACAUGGAUAAUGGAAAUUCUCAGAUAAUUCCACAAUUUAAGUUUAUCUCUUGCUUUCAUUAUUUCUAAUCAGCAUACUCUCCAUAUGACAACUAUAUCUAUGAUAAGAAAAUUGACUUCUUUACCUAUAAAUCUCUGUACUUUCUUGACAGACACCAAAGAACUACAUGUUGACUGUAUCUUGCUGGUAACUUAAGGAGAAUAGUAACUUGUAGUUUCCACCUUUAGCAACUGGACAUUGGCCAUACUCUGAUUUACCAAGAGAGUCCUUGUAAUCACAAAGGAAAGCAGCGAUUUGGCUUCAGAUAUUAAAGCAACUUUUUUUGACGUGGCUAGAUGGUUAGGAACACACUGAAGAAUAGAUUUUCAGUAAUGAGCCAUACUUUCAAUGAACGUCCCAAGGAAAACAAUUUUAAGAUCUUGCAUAAAAUAGUUCAUAUGCCUCAAAUUUGCAUUUAAUUCUUACAUUAGGUUGAAAGCUCAUGUAGAAAACAUGUAAUGUAAAAAUUGGAGAGCCCAAGAACACAGUCAUUUCCCCUUGGGUGCUAACAAAAAUAUACUACCCAACAGUGCCUUUGUUUGCAGUCUAAUAUUUUAGAAGGAAAAAAAGACCCCACAAGCAAACAUGUUUUUUUUUUCUUAGUCCAGAAAGAAGAAAUACAGUGUGAACAUAAUACUUAGGGUAGACAAAAUGGCCAAAAUAGAUUAAGUUGGCAUCCUUUUUAGCUGCAGCUUCCUUAACCUUGUACCACACCCUGACAUCAUCUUCCUACAUGGCCACACCUCAUCCCCCCAUAGCCAAACAUUAUUUGCAUUCAUCACUCAUUCGUAGAUGCCAAAUCAGACAUGGUUCUUGCCCCUAUGGAGUUUAUGAUUAACUGGGGAAGACAUGCAUUAAUCAAAUUCUCUUUCUCUCUCUCUCUCAUUCUCUCACACACACACACACACACACACACACACACACACACACACACACACACAUGAAACUGUGACUGGAUCAGAUGCUACGGGAGAAAGACACACAGGGUUCAAAAAUCUGUGAAGGGUUUUUUUAUCUGUUCAGGGAAAAUCAGGAAUGUCUUCUCUGAGGAUGAGUAGUUCAGGCUGUGAUUUGCAGGAUCAGUAAGAAUUAACCAGGAAAAGAAGGCAAGAGAGAGAACCUUAUGUGGUGAAUGAACAAAUGUUUAAUAUAAAGGCAGCAGAAGAGCCAGGGUGGAGGCAGGCACAGAGGUGGGAGAUAAGGCUCUGGUGGCCAUGCUAAAGAUCCUUACUUCACCCUGACAGUGAUGGAUCAUCACAACAUUUCCAAGAUCAAGAAUGCACUUCCCAUCUGUGUUUCCUCUAAAGUCAAAAUAUGGCCCAUCUUUCAAAAGGAAAAUUCAAAUGUUACCCAUUCAGUCUUCUAACACUUUCAUUUCCUAAUCUAAUUAGAAAAGAUCAUUCUGGCUAAGAGGUGGUAUAGUAGUUUAACCCACCCACUCAUAUGCAUGUGUUUGUAUUUAUAUAUAAAAUUUUAUUUUCACAUUUCUUUUUCCUAGUGGCAUUAGCAAAAGCACUCCCAGUUUCAUUGAGUCUCUUUUAAGUUUUGCUUCCCCUCUCCUCCUCUCUUCACUAUGCUCUGCUGUCUUGGUGUCUCCCCACUACUCAUGUACUCUCCCUCCAUUUCUCAAUUCUCAUAUGAGGGGAGGUGCCCCAGAGGGUGACGAAGGACAGUGUGGCAGAGGACAGGAGGAAGAAAACAUAGGCACAGCUGCACUUCAGCAUUCUGAAGCUGUAAUCAUCCUGAGCAUCUGUCCAGGGACUUCCUUGCCCAGUUGCUUUGCCAUCUGUACUUGAAGCCAAGGAGCAUCAGGUGCUUUGCCUUUCCUCACCAGGCUUACGCCAUAGCCUUUUCACCCCACUACCCACACCUCCCAGUGAUGCUGCAACUAUUUCUCCUCUGGGCUCCAUGCAGUAACUUUCUGGGUUUUUUUGGUUGUUGUUUUAGAGCAUUUUUGUAGACAGGGUUUUACUCAGUCAUCCAGACUGGAGUACAGUGGUGCAGUUAUGGCUCACUGUAGCCUUAACCUCCUGAGCUCAAGGCAUCCUCCCACUUCAGCCUCUCAAGUAGGUGGGACUACAGGUGCAAACCAACAUGCCUGGCUCAUUUUUUAUUUUUUUGUAAAUAUAGGGUUUUUCCAUGUUGCCCAAGUUGGUUUUGAUCUCCCGGGCUCAAGCGAUCCUCCUGGUUCAGCCUCCCAAAAUGUUGGGAUUAUAGGCAUUAUCCACUGUGCCUGGCCCAGUAACUUUCUAAAUAGUGUACAGGCCUCCAGUCUCACCACCUGUCCCAUUCUCCUUCUCUUUCCUUCUGCAGAGACCUAAGAGCCAAGCGGAGCCCAUCUCCUUCCUACACAUUCUUCCAGCCUCUUUAGGACCUGAUUUCACAACCUCAUGUGCCACACCCCAGCUGCACCCUCCUGGUGGAAAGUGUUUUGCAGCUUCUUAAAGAUAUCAUUCUGCUUCAUUCAUCAACCUUUGUCCAUGGUGUUCCUUCUGACUAGAAUGUGUCCCCCAACCCCUUUGCCUGGUGAGACCCUCCUCUUCCUUUGAGACCCAUCAGAAGGCUUGUCUCUUCUUGGAAGCUUCUCACCCCACUCCAGUGCUGCAUCCCUAGUUUCUGUGCAUCCCCUGCAACCUGUGCAUCACUUUUUCAAACAUCGCUCCUCAAGUAGCAUUGUGCAUGCUGUUUUCUUGCCUUUCUCACUCACACAAAUGGGAGUUUCCUGGGGGCCCUUUGUCAUCACCACCUGCCUGACUGGAUACACUAACACUCAGCCUACCUGCCACCUACUUGGAACCUUACAGGUGUUUCUUUGAUUAAUUAAUUAAUUCAUGUUUUCUCCUCUUCUGGUCAGUUCUUCCACUUUACCUGUGCUUGUUUGGAUAUGCAGAGCUCUAGCUGGCGAGAGUGUCCUUCUGGCUAGAUUGUCUCACCAAAAAGAGAAUGGGUUUUCCCCAUCCGGGUGUCUCUUAAUUUUUUCUUCCACUCGUGUUUGGACAAAAUUAUUUAUUGACUGGAAGGACCACAUGGCAACUCUUCAUGGCUUUGAGGCCCCUUAAUGAGUGUCCAAGGGAGAUUCUCUCUCACUUCCAAGUUCAUGGCAGACAUUUACCUACCCAGUCAGCUUGAACUGAGCUCAUAGAAGUUUUAUUUCUGGCUUUUGCGGAUCAUUUUUUAUGCUGUUCCUCUCACCUGAAGCUCCCUUUCUAUCUCUCCCUAGUUGGAUAAUAGUACACAUAUUAAAUGUGUACCUUGUACCAAGUAUGCUGAGACCUGCUUAUAACUAAUUUUGCUUGAUCUUCAUGAAUAGUGUUUUGAAAUAGCAUUUUUCUAUCCCUGCAGAUAGGAAAACUAGAAAACAAAGAAUAAGUAACUUCCCCAAGCUCACAUGACUUGUAAGUGGCAGAGCUGGGAUUUGAACCCAAGCCCCUCUGAAGCUAAAGCCUGUAGAGUACAUGCUCCCUUCCUCCACAUCACACUGCCCCUGCUUGUUCACACUCAAUGUGAGAAUCCACUUCUCAAGUUUGUCUUGCUUAUUCCAACCUGUUUUGCAAUGAAUCUCUUUCAACAGCUCUAUAGUUCCUGGCACUCACUUGGCAUCCAUCAUUUUCUAUGUUGUCAUGUUUGGUAUCUUUUCAUGUAUGUAAUGUGCAUCUCUUCUUAGGAGUAAGACCAGAACUUUUCUGCUCUGCAGUUUUCUCCCUGUGAGGGAUGGUGAAACUUGGUGGCUAAGAGCAUGGUUUAUACAGACAGACUUCUUAGGUUUAUAUUCUGGCUCUCCUCUGUACUUGCUGUAUCAGCUAGGGCUGAUGUCUUCACUUUUUUAUGAUUCCAUUUCUACCUCUGUACAAUAAGGCAAAUAUGAAUACUUACCUCAGAGUGUUGUUGUGAAGAUGGAAUGAAUUAAUGGCCAUAAAGCACUUACAGCUGUGUCUGGUACAUAGUGACCACUCACUAAUGGUCACUUAUAAUUCCUUCACAACCUGUAAGGGUCCUUUCCACCCAGGUGAUGUCCCUAUGUCUCAACUGAAUGACUGGUUAGGGAUAUCUUUCCAUGGGCUACUGUGGCUGCAGAUAAUUGCAUUCUUAUUUGAGAGUUAUGUUAACUAGUGUGGGCUUUUAUUUGCUUCUCUCUUUCUAUCAAUGAGUCCUGCUGCUUCAACCCUGGGUUAACUGAAAUUUGAAACCUUUUUCUACUCAAAUUCCUUUGAUGCUGAAAUUCCUCUGCGGUCACAGCUAAGCACUUUGUGUGGUAACCUUCUCUUCUGUCCUCAGGCCUGCUGAGAUCAUCUGCUCAGCAGCAUGUCUGACACCUGUUGCCACCUCACCCAGCCACUUCCUUGGUGACCUGGCAAUGCCCAGAGGGGCCCUGCCAGCUUGGAGCCCUGUGGCAAUGCUGUUUGAUUCAGCAAACUGAUAGCCUUCUGACAUCCUUUCUUCAUUUUAGCAGCCAAAUCACAUGCACCUUAAUAUUUAUCAAUAGCUAAGCAACACCGGAAGGAAGUGAGACAGAGCCUCUGGGCUAGUCACUAUCUCUGAUUUUACAGAAUGGUUAAGCCAGGUGUAAAAUAUCUCACAAUAACAUGCCCUGUUGUCCUGAGGAUUCAAUUCCACCGAGAUAUAAUUACCAUAUGAGGAAGUGAGAAAUAGGGUUUCUUUCUAAUACACAGAAAAUAGAAAAUAAGAUGCUUUUCUUGGCCACUGUUAUCAGUUUCCUGUUAAGGUUCUGCUUUGUUUAAAACAGUCCUGUUUUGCUUAAAAACAAACUCUAAGGAAUUUUUCUAAAACAUGACUCAACCUAACUAGGUAUAUAUACUGUACUUUAAAGUGAACAUAUUUGAAAUAAUUGUGAGUGACAAAGAGACGGAAAAACAUAGAUUUUGAAACUAGCAUUAUUCUAAUGAUUUUUAUCCCAGUGGUUUAUUUGGAAAUGAAUUUCCAUUCACAACAUCUUCAUUUGUCUUCUAAUUUUCAUGCAAUUUGAAAGGGUUAGUUUCCUUACCCACAGGAUCAUCCUGGUCAAAUCUCAAAAGAUUGGCUAGGGCAUUCUGAUUUUACAGGCAAAUUUAUAUUUUGCCGUUUCAGGAAAUAAUUCCUUCAUGGUUAUCUUUUAUAAAGAGCUUAUUUGUAUAAUAUAUACACAUAGUAUAUAUCAAAUAAAAGAUCUGGUGUUAUAAACAUAAGAAUAAGCAAUUUCCCUUUUGUGAUAGGAAUAUGAAAUUCCUUCUGGUAGAGGACGUUUAAGAGCAUGUCCAAAGAAUGGCUAAUCAAUGAAUUCUCUCAUUUUGUAAGGAGACACUUAGAUGCAUUUCUGAAAAAAACAAAACAAAACAAAACAAAACAAAAAACACUUUGGGCUUUCUCUGUAUUCUUCAAGCAUUUCUAAACAUUUAUUGACAUAUGCAGUAGAGAAAAACUGGUAUCAGGAGGAAGGCAGUAAGUAGCCAGCAGUCACAAGGUACAAAGAAUAAAAUGCAUGCAAACAUGUACAGUAUUCACUUUCAGGAGUUAAUCUACAUUUUAUUUAAUUUUUUUUUUUUUUUUUGACAGCGUUUCACUCUUGUUGCCCAGGCUGGAGUGCAGUGGUGCGAUCUCAGCUCACUGCAACAUCUGCCUCCCGGGUUCAAGCAAUUCUCCGGCCUCAGCCUCCCAAAUAGCUGGGAUUACAGGCAUAUGCCACCAUGCCUGGCUAAUUUUUUUGAAUUUUUAGUAGAGACGGGUUUUUGCCAUGUUGGUCAGGCUGGUCUCAAACUCCUGACCACAGGUGAUCUGCCUGCCUCGGCUGCCCAAAGUGCUGGAAUUACAGGCGUGAGCCACCAUGCCUGGUCCCUUUUAAAAUAUUUUAACACUGAGACCAUAUUACUGAUGUACUACUUCUUUCUAAAAGUAAUUAGAAUAAAUGUACACCCUCUUCUUUAAACUUUGCAUUUUUCAAAUUUCCAAAAACAAAAACUAAUUAUAAGUAAAUCCAUAAGCAAAACGCUGUUAAUUACCACUUCCAAAAUCUGGAAGCGGUGACUUGCUUUACUAAGACAAGAAACUUUAGACAGGUGAAUACUUUUAACAAGGAACACACUUAACUUUGUCUAAUUGAGCAAAUUACAAAUCAGAGCUAGUAGCUUGUUAAUUAUAAGAAUAUCUCCAUUACUUGAAUACGUGUACUAGUCAUGGUAGGCAAAAUAAUACUCCAAUAACGGACGACCCCACUGUGGAUCUGAGAACCCCGCAGGCCAGCAGUCUCCAUGUGAUUGCCAAAAGCAAUGCCGCCAUAUAAACCACAGGUGUCUACCUUCACCAUGACAGAAGAAAGGGUUAGAGAUUCCAGAAGUCACAAUUAAAUGCUUCCACCCCGAAAAGUGGAUCAUAUUUCAUUUUCCAAAGCAAUGCAACUUUGUUAACCUCAAAGAGGCAGGGAAGUACAAUUUUCCUGUGGGGUUGGAAGAAGAAAACUGGAAAUUGGUGAACAGUUUUGAAAUGUCUGCCAUAACUUUUAAGUGAGGAACUUAGUGUUCUCUUACUCUGUCAUGUUUUUAAAUAUCUUUUUGAUUGAAAUCUUUCAAGGCUUUCCAGAUCCCUGAAGAUAAAAUACAAACUCUCCAACAAGACCUUUUGGCCAUCAGGAACGCAGCACCUGGCUCUCUCACUAGUAUCCUCUCUCUGUUUGCCAUGUCCCAUUAAGACUGUCUCCAGAAACAAUGAAUUUAUUGUUGCCUGUUUCCUGCUAGCUUUUCCCCGUAUUUACACAGUUUGCUUUAUCUGCUGGGAUUACCCUUCCCUGACUAUGCUCAAUCUCUAUCUCCCUUGGCAAUUCUCCUCCAGGCCCCAGACCUGAGAACUGGACCAGUGCUCUGCUCUCUCCUCUGAGCUUCACCACAUCCUGUGAAAACUUGAACCUAAUUCUUACUAGGUUUUAAUCAACUGUUUACCUGUCUUUUCUCCCCACUAAAGAUGAAAAGUCGCAGAGAUAGCGGAGAACAAGAACCAGAUCUCACAGUCAUGGUGCCAAAAGACUGUUACCCUAGCAUGACUGCUUCAGCGAAGAGAUAAGAGCUUCUUUGACUUUUUCCACUGGAAUUUUUCAUGCCAGAAGAAAUUGAACAUGUGAGCCUGGUGUCUGGAAGAGUAGCCUGGAUUUAUGGUAUCAGAUGCACAUUUUUAACACCUUCAGUUUUCUCUUUAAAAUAUCUCUUCAAUCCCUUACUUUUCUCUAUUUGUUUCAACAUUAAAAUAUGUUAUUUUUCUUCAAA